rfam:Rattus norvegicus chromosome 20, whole genome shotgun sequence.
GGGGAUUUAGCUCAGUGGUAGAGCGCUUGCCUAGGAAGCGCAAGGCCCUCUGGGUUCGGUCCCCAGCUCCG